rnacentral:rRNA from 1 species
UACGGAGGGUGCAAGCGUUGUUCGGAAUCAUUGGGCGUAAAGCGCGUGUAGGCGGCUUGGCAAGUCGGUUGUGAAAGCCCGGGGCCCAACCCCGGAAUUGCAUCUGAAACUGCCUCGCUAGAGUCCCGGAGAGGAAGGCAGAAUUCCCGGUGUAGGGGUGAAAUCCGUAGAUAUCGGGAGGAAUACCAGCGGCGAAGGCGGCCUUCUGGACGGUGACUGACGCUGAGACGCGAAAGCGUGGGGAGCUAACAGG